AGUGGACGCCGGCGGUAGGCCUAACACAUGCAAGUCGAACGGCAGCACAGUAAGAGCUUGCUCUUACGGGUGGCGAGUGGCGGACGGGUGAGGAAUACAUCGGAAUCUACUUUUUCGUGGGGGAUAACGUAGGGAAACUUACGCUAAUACCGCAUACGACCUACGGGUGAAAGCAGGGGAUCUUCGGACCUUGCGCGAUUGAAUGAGCCGAUGUCGGAUUAGCUAGUUGGCGGGGUAAAGGCCCACCAAGGCGACGAUCCGUAGCUGGUCUGAGAGGAUGAUCAGCCACACUGGAACUGAGACACGGUCCAGACUCCUACGGGAGGCAGCAGUGGGGAAUAUUGGACAAUGGGCGCAAGCCUGAUCCAGCCAUACCGCGUGGGUGAAGAAGGCCUUCGGGUUGUAAAGCCCUUUUGUUGGGAAAGAAAAGCAGCAGGUUAAUACCCCGCUGUCCUGACGGUACCCAAAGAAUAAGCACCGGCUAACUUCGUG
rnacentral:rRNA from 1 species